rnacentral:lncRNA from 1 species
UCUUUUUCAUCUUCAGAAAGCUUUUAAAUUUUUUAAUGAUUAAUAAUAAGUCUUCAUCUUCAUCACCAGAUUCUUUGAUUUUUUGCUAUCUUCCUGAUUUAAAGACUUGAAUGCUAACAUUUUUUUCCCUCUUAUUAUUAUCUUUUCUUCUUGAUUCAUUAAAGUCAGCUUAUGGGUCAUGAAGGAACCCAAGAAUUCCUCUAAAAAUAGUUGAUUUAGAUUCUUUACUUCUUGAAUAACCAUCACCUUUGUUUCCCAAGAUCUGG